AUACGUAGGUGACAAGCGUUAUCCGGAUUUACUGGGCGUAAAGGGCGUGUAGGCGGUCUUGCAAGUCAGAAGUGAAAUUCCUGAGCUCAACUCGGGCGCUGCUUCUGAAACUGCAGGACUUGAGUGCUGGAGGGGAUAGCGGAAUUCCUAGUGGAGCGGUAAAAUGCGCAGAUAUUAGGAAGAACACCGGUGGCGAAGGCGGCUAUCUGGACAGUAACUGACGCUGAGGCUCGAAAGUGUGGGGAGCAAACAGGAUUAGAUACCCUGGUAGUCCACACUGUAAACGAUGAUUGCUAGGUGUGGGGGGUCUGACCCCUUCUGUGCCGCAGCUAACGCAAUAAGCAAUCCACCUGGGGAGUACGGCCGCAAGGCUGAAACUCAAAGGAAUUGGCGGGG
rnacentral:rRNA from 1 species